UACGUAGGGUGCGAGCGUUAAUCGGAAUUACUGGGCGUAAAGCGUGCGCAGGCGGUUUUGUAAGCCAGAUGUGAAAUCCCCGGGCUUAACCUGGGAAUGGCAUUUGGGACUGCAAGGCUGGAGUGCGGCAGAGGAGACUGGAAUUCCUGGUGUAGCAGUGAAAAUGCGUAGAUAUCAGGAGGAAUACCGAUGGCGAAGGCAGGUCUCUGGGCUGACACUGACGCUCAUGCAC
rnacentral:rRNA from 1 species